UACGUAGGGGGCAAGCGUUGUCCGGAAUCAUUGGGCGUAAAGAGCGCGUAGGCGGUCCGGUAAGUCCGCUCUGAAAGCCCGGGGCUCAACCCCGGGAGGCGGGCGGAUACUGCCGGGCUAGAGUCCGGAAGAGGCGAGUGGAAUUCCUGGUGUAGCGGUGAAAUGCGCAGAUAUUGGGAAGAACACCAGCGGCGAAAGCGCGCUACUGGGCCAUUACUGACACUCAUGGACGAAAGCUAGGGGAGCGAAAGGG
rnacentral:rRNA from 1 species